rnacentral:lncRNA from 1 species
ACCCUAGGACAUGAAGAAGAGUCUGACUUGUAGAAGAAGUCACAAGGUGGUGAUUUAUCUCCCUUCAGUUUGGAGAGAUGCUGGGAGGAGAGUAGUGACCUAAAGCAAAAGAAAGGAGAAAUUUGUAAGGUAAGCCUGGAAGUUAUGGUAAACACUGUCUGAAAUUCUGGAGAGCCAGGCAGCGUAAACAAGGUUUAGGCAGACGGACCCAUGAUCUGACUCAGUACAAUGCAGCUUCCUGUGGUUGUAUGAAAAGCCCCCAUAUAGGAGUCUCACUGGGGGCAGCAGUGUGUGUAUGUGUACAAUAGGUGCUGUGGCUGCCAAGCAGAGGAGACAUCAGGGGAGUGAUGGCAGAGUUGGGCCUCCGCUAGCCAUGCUCUUUCUGAUGCGUUCACAGUAAAGAAGCAAACCUCUGUGAUUCCAUGCUGAACAGGGGGGAACUAAAUUGGCUCAGGCUCUUGCGUCAUGGGAAGCGUGAAGGUUUGAGUUGGCUGGCAAGGUGGUUGUAACCUUGGCACCUGGACAGAAACCCCUUUAUUCCAAGCCUUCUUCUACCUAGUAACUACUGGAGUUGGCUGCAUCAUCACAAGCUGCCCAGCACUCACCUCAGGCCUUCUCAGCCAUGAAGAAGAGAGCAGGCCAAACCCACAGCGGUUCGCCAGUGUCCCAGGGCUCCCCGCUCUUAAUAGGCCACUGCUAGAAACAAGGAAGUCUCUGGCUCCCACCAGGAGUUAAUUAACAGAAGGAAAACACUUUUAAAGGCUGCCAAGCAAGCAAUCGACAGUGUCAGGCAAGGUUACCACUACACAAACUGAGCUCAGCUACACAACUUUUAGCCAGGAUCCACAACACGCACACACACAGAGCUGCUGUCAAUCUCUGUGAAUGAGCAGCUCACCAACAAAAUGCCUGAGGAAAGGGCAGUGGUUCAGCUGGGAAUCCAAGUUAUUUGCCUGUUGGCUAGGAUGGCAAGGCCAGGGAUUGCUUCAGACCUGUGGAGGACCAACCAGAAUACAGGCACUGAGAAGUCUCAGGUCUGAAAACAUUCAGGUGAAGCAAGGAAAAGAACUAGUCAAGAUGGAGCGUCCUGAAUUAUGCCACUUAUCAUUGGGAUCCUACCCACAGGCAAAAGUCUGGGGGAAGAGGAUUGACGCAAAUAUAGGUUUGUGUGUGAAAGCUUUCAUGCGUUGGUAGCUUCUCAUUUGGAUUAUUAGAAUGUGUUUGUGGGUGGGGCUGCGUGUCUCUGGAGUCAGUCGGGAAGCUUCAGCAGAUGCCAAAUAUGGCUGUGAGAGUGUUAAUUGGGACCAGACAUUAUGAACAUAAUAUCUCACACUUUUCUCAUCCUCACUGUCUCCUAAUUCAAAGUGCUGGUUUUGGCCUAAAAGGCCUACACAAUUCAGGGCCUUGGGACUUGAAGGGACGCCUCUUCCUGCCUAUAUGGUGAGCUCAUCUGUGGGUGCCCUUUUCCAGGUGCCCCCUCAGCCCCAAGUUAUGAGGGUAGUCAUGAGAGGGAGAGAGAGGGUCUUUUCAGUGGCAGAAAGUGUUCCUGAGGAAGUUUGCCUUCUCUGGCAUCCAUGUUCUCUUUUUGGCAUCAGGCUUAAGACUUUUCUGUUCUCUCAAGCUAUUUAAUAUCAUGUGUUUGGUUUUCUUUUUAGUUCCUGUGAUAGUCUUAGUGGUCUUUAUGUACUUCUAUAUUUGCGGGUUGUUUUUCAGCUCCUGUGAGUUGUAUUGUAUUUUAUUUUGUUGUUCUUUUGGCUAGAUGUUUAAGUUACAGUCUGAAUUUUUAUGGUGCUAUUAUGCUUUUCAUUUAUUUGCAUUAUGUCCGGAGAACUUAUUUAUGAGGCAUCUGACAAAUAUAAACAAAUAUAUAAUAAAUAAAUAAUGGUAUUACUAAUUAGUGAGGAAUUGGGUAGAAUUUUGCCUGCCCUUCUAUCUGCAUGUGUAAAUUGCCUAGAGACUUUGAGGGGAAGGGAGAAGGGGGAAGAAGGAAAGGAAAAGGAAAUUCAGGAAUGAAGCCCCAAAUUUGCCUGAGGUAUCCAGACUCCUACCAUGACAACAGCUCAGAUCAGAAUGUUUAGAGUUGACAAACCAAACCCUCUCACAUCAGCAGCCAAAAAGUCUUUAUAAAGUUAGCUCAGGCAGAACAGAAUUCAGAGGACACAAGCAGAGUAUUCUCGAAAGCCACGUUGCUAUCUCUGCCCAGUCCCUCAUGCUCCUAAGGCUGGCCUCUGUGUCUAAGACUAAGAUGGACAUAAAGGCCUGGCUCAGAGAUUCAAACAAAGAAGAACAAAUCUCUUGUUUAGUGUCAGUCAUUAAACAACUCAUGGGGCUUACAGAAUAACCUAACAAAGUCCUUACUAUGUCAGAUGAAUGGUCUCUCUGCGUACCUUGCCUGUGACAGCAACUAGCUUGAGAUGACCCUUCGACAAGGCAAACAGCAGAACAGGCUUCUACAAGAACACUGAAAGAUGAAUAGGAAGGUGCCAUAUGACAUACCCAUUUGUCCACCUGACUCAUUGUCUCCAUUACACUGGCUGUGCUCAUGCCUCAUGGUCAGCCACAAACAUGGAGAACUGCUACCAGUCAGUGGUCCUAUCUGCAUGUUGCAGAAAGCCACAAACCAUGGCUUACUGUGAACAAGCAGAGUGCUAGUCCAUGCUGCUGAAUCACUCCCAUUUUACUCCACUCUUCCUCAAACUGGGAGGAACAAACAAGACUUGGCUUACUAUUACAUCUGAAGCAGCACUCGUGGGUUUGCCCCCUGCUCCAAACAUACCACAAUGGUUAACCAAGGUUUGCUCAUUGCUUUCAAAUUGUGUUUUGAACAAACCAUGAGUGCUGGGUCAUAUGCCAUGGGAAGCCAAGGCUUGUGGUUUGUUGCUCCCAGCUUCAGGAGGGCAGCGAUUUAGCAGCAUGCACUAGCAUAUGAAAGGGCCCACUGACUGGCAGCAGACCGCCAGGGUUUUGGACCCACUUGGAGAAGCAAUAGAUUGGAGACCUGUCAUUAAUGCAUGUUGUCUGUUUACCCUGUUAAAUCCACAUCACAACCAUGUCUGGAUUUUAUUCCACUGUGUGGUGGUUCAGCGGUUCAGGCUGCUUAUACCCCAUUUUGUAUUCACUCCUCUUCCAUCAUUAUGCCCACUGAUUUAGCACACAGUCAGGAAGCACUUUAGGAAUUGGUAGGUAUCAUUCCCUGAGAUAGCCCCUAACUCACAACUGGAAGCUAGCCUUGUGAACUGCACUGCAUAUCUACGUUCUUGUCAGUUUUGUGGAACAGCAGGAACUGGGAUAAGUUAUCUCUACAGUGGGUCUGCGUGGGAAGCAGAGAGUUUCUGACCUACGGAGAAGGAAGGAACGGGUAUGGAAUAAAACCAACAUAUAUUUAUUUACCUACCUACUUACGACUCAAAAUGAUGUGUCUGAGUGGUGCACAAUAAAACCAUUCCAUAAAAUGCAAAAUAGGUUAAAAUACAGAUCACAAAUCCCAACUGCAACAUACACGGAUGUCUAAUGCCAGAAACAAUUUGUGAAGAAGUAAAAAUACAGUUGAGCCUUCAUCAGGAAAGACACAGGUUAAAAAAAAAGAAGAAAAAGUAAAAGUAAAAAGAGGAUGUCCUAAGGAGUGACCAGCCAGAGGACUGCUGGACCUUUUGCUCCCCAAAGCCUCAGAGCUCUGGGAAAGGGUUAUUGGGCUGCUAUAGACCCCACCAGCUGACCAAACUCACUUGGACAAGACUGAACUUCUGGUGCCUAUGGCAGAUAUCGUUGGAUAUCUGAUAUGGAUAUGGCAGAUAUCGUUGGCACUGAGAGAGGCAAGGCACAACUCACUAAGAAGGAGUAGUUGCUGCUGCUAUAAUGGCUUCUGGGACUACCAGUAUAUUCUCUGGGGAAAGAAAUGUAAGGUUUGUACCAAGGGCCAAAGCUCAAUUUGCAGUUGACACACUUUACCUGUUUUGUCUUCAACAGGGGCUCCCAUCUGAGUGUAUCCCCCAUGGAAUUGAUGGAUCACAGGGCGUUCCAGUUGGGCAUUCCCUUUGGACAGCAGGUCAGUCUCCCUCUGUAUAAGGCAGGUUCCUAAGUAUGCCAAUAUCAUAACCUUAGACUUGGCCUAGUAAAGGUAGAUGCAAUGGAAAAUUUCCUUGGGAUAUAAAGGCAGCAAAGAUGGGAUAUAAAGGCAGUAAAAUAAAUACUUUCCGUUUUGUCUACUCACCACACUCCAUUUACAGCACAUGUAAGCCAAUUAUUCCUAGUUUUUCUCUUCUGUCUGCUUCUGAAAGCAAGUUAGUGACUUUCCCACAAUCCUCUACUUAGAUGAGAGAGACAGAAAUCACCCACCCCCAUCCAUCUUCCCUCUCUCCACCCCCCUUUCUUUUUUCCUUUUUUUUUCUUCUCCCCCUAAUGCUUCAACAAAUGAAACAGAUUUGUAAAAAUGUUACAUGGGGAAAAAAAAUACGAGGCAUUACACUUCUGU